rnacentral:rRNA from 1 species
UACGAAGGGGGCUAGCGUUGUUCGGAAUUACUGGGCGUAAAGCGUGCGCAGGCGGUCCGCAAAGUCUGAUGUGAAAGCCCCGGGCUCAACCUGGGAACUGCAUUGGAAACUAACGGGCUCGAGUGUGGCAGAGGGGGGUGGAAUUCCACGUGUAGCAGUGAAAUGCGUAGAGAUGUGGAGGAACACCGAUGGCGAAGGCAGCCCCCUGGGCUAACACUGACGCUCAGGCACGAAAGCGUGGGGAGCAAACAGG